GAAAUGGCCCUUCUCUCUCUGCCCCCUAUCUUUCUCCCUCUAGCUCGGACGGACUCCGUCCACUUCUCUCGUUUUGUUCUCUCCGGUAUCUCUCUCUCUUCCACCAAGCCCGUCAGAGUUUGUCAGAGGUGCCAAUUAUUCCCCACUAUCUGUUUUGUAACAGAAUACCAGUUAACAGAAUCACCCCCGUACCCGCCGCCGCCUCCGCUAUCUCAGAGCCGCCCUCAUUUUCGUUUGAAUCUGAAUCCUCCUCUUCCAUUGCUCCGUCGCCCCAACCGUCACAACCUCUGCCGUCUCAUCCGCUCUCAAUUAUCAUCAGGCGGAGGCGGCUACGGUUGGGAAGGUUAGGCACAAAAGAUUGGUGAGGGAAAUGAGAGGCUGUUGGUGGCACAAUGCAUGCCUAAUCAUACUCUCUCUAAAUACCUCUUUCCCUGUAUGUUUCUAUCUCUCUUGAUACCUAUAAAAACUUGAAUCUUGCUAAUUUCCUCCAGAAGCCUCAUGUCGUUGCAACAUAUUGUAUAAGGUAGUUUUGCUUUAAUCAUUCUUCUAGUUGUAACUUGUAACUUGUAACUUAAUGCAAAUGCUUGGGGAAGUGAAGUGAUCACCAAUCGUGAGUCAGCAUGUUCAUCUGUGUCCAAGGACUCUCACUAGGCAUUUAGCUGUAAAUACAAUCCUUUUUCUGGUCUGAAUUCUGCGUAACUUACAUGGUCUUUAAUUCUGUCCUAGUUUUUGUAAGGAUUCUGGAUAGGGGUUUUGUUUUGAGUAAUCUGGCAUCAAUUAGAUGGGUUUUUGAGCAAUAACGGAUUAAUUUGGUCUUUUCUGGUUUUUGUGUUUAGUGUAUCUUUGGGAUAUCUGUGAUGUAGUUUGUUGGUAGUACCAAAAUAAAAUUUAGUGGAUUUCAAGGGUAGUUUAAACAAAACAAAUGUGCAGUUGUCAUGAUCAUUCUUAAUGGUGUUGUCAGUUGUCUGCAAAUUUUCCCUGUACUUAUCAUCUGUUUUCCUAUAAUCUGAUUGGAGUUAAUAUAAACUUAUUAUUGUGGAAAAUUAGUUUCUGUAUGAAUUUUGGACUCUGUUAUUGCAUGCUUAGAACAGUAGAGAUUGUCAAAGAAAGAUUAGUCUUUGAAAAUGAAAUCUGCAUCAAAAGACAAUUAAAACCACCUUGGAAAAACCAGGUAUGGGUGCUAUCACUCUAUUUCCCUAUAUCCCUGCUGAAGUGGGUUUGGGUUCAAUCUUUGGAAGGGCAUCCUUGAGUUAAAGGACUUGUUAACGAAUGGAUUAGUCGAACGACAUAAUCUUGGCAUGUAACUAAUGAGUUUUCCCUCUGCAUAUCAAUUAAUCAUUUGUCUUCCUUACAGAUAAAGGGUUCGUUUGGGGAGGGUGAUGGCAAUGCUGCUACUGUCAACUAGAAAUUGUUGAAUCUACAAAAGUUGGCCCCUUUCAUUUCAGUAAAAGACUUGAUACAAAAGUUCUUGUAAUGUUUCAUAACUUCAUUCUUUUUCCUCUCAAGCAUUUCAUAACUGCAGAUUUUGAUGUUGCAUCAAAGUUUUAUCUCUCUCUUCUCCUUUAUUGGUUCUGAUAGACAAUGAUGUGAUAGGGUCAGCAUGUUCAUCUGUGUCCAAGGACUCUCACUAGGCAUUUAGCUGUAAAUACAAUCCUUUUUCUGGAAUGAAUUUUGCUUAACUUAGGCCCUCUCACGUAUAUAUUUCUCAUUUAAUCCGAUAUUAGAAAAUAGUUACCACAUAACCAAGUAGUAGUAGCACUACCACAGUGCCCUCAGACCCUCUCAUGUAUAUAUUUCUCAUUUAAUCUGAUAUUAGAAAAUAGUUACCAAAAAAAAGGAUAACUAGGAAGAGGAAAGAAAGAGUUAGGGUUUCCAAUCCAAACAUUCUCCUUCCCAAAAUGGAUCAAGCAAUCAAGAUGGAUAUGAAAUAUUAUUUUGUUGCUCCGUUUUUAUAAUUAAGAUCCCUAACUCUAUAUAUAUAAUGUAUAUUUAAUUAGCAUUUUGAUUACAAGAUCCGAUAAUUAAUUAGCAUAUCAUUAAUUAUCCGAUAAUUACUUUUCAAUUUGUCUAGUCGCACUAAGAAAUCAGUUGACCUCAUCUAAUUGCUAUGUGAUUAAGGUAUUUUCGCUAAAUUCUCUAGAUCCAUGUCAUGCAAUUUCCUUUCCUUUCCUAUUAUGUUAAUUAAUGAUUAUAGUUCUACCUCUUAAUUUCUUGCUUAAUUUUAUCUCUUAAUUUUAAGAACAACAUUAUCUCUUAAUUUUAACAACAACAUUAUCUUUUAAUUUUAACAACAACAAGGAAAUAAUCGGGUCGACCUAAUUUCUUGCUUAAUUUUAUCUCUUAAUUUUAAUUUUAUUAAUUAUUAUUAACAUAGAGAUUAGCGAAAUCACUAUAAUUCCUAAUAAUAAUAAUAAUUAAUAAAAUUAAAAUUAAGAGAUAAAAUUAAGCAAGAAAUUAAGAGGUAGAACUAUAAUCAAUAAUUAACAUAUUAAGAAAGGAAAUUGCAUGCCAUGGAUCUAGGGAAUUUAGCAAAAAUACUUUAAUUGCAUAGCAAUUAGAUGAGGUCAACUGAUUUCUUAGUGCGAUUAGACAAAUUGAAGAGUAAUUAUCAGAUAAUUAAUGAUAUGCUAAUUAAUUAUCGGAUCUUGUAAUCAAAAUGCUAAUUAAAUAUACAUUAUAUAUAUAUAUAGAGUUAGGGAUCUUAAUUAUAAAAACGGAGAAAGAAAAUAAUAUUUCAUACCCAUCUUGAUUGAUUGAUCCAUUUUGGAACGACAAUGUUUGGAUUGGAAACGCUAACUCUUUCUUUCCUCUUCCUUCUCUUUUUUGGUAUUUAUUUUCUAAUAUCGGAUUAAAUGAGAAAUAUAUGCGUGAGAGGGUCUGAGGGCAUUUUAUCAUAAAUUUAACAAGGAAAUAAUCGUAUUGACCUAAUUUUAUCUCUUAAUUUUAAUUUUAUUAGAUAUUAUUAUUAUUAUUAGGAAUUAUAGUGAUUUCACUAAUCUCUAUGUUAAUUCCCUCUAGCAUUAUAUUUGCUAAUUUUCUGAUUAGAUGCAUGCAUGAUCAUAGAAACCCAAUUAGGCCGCCAUUCCUUAUUUCAUCAUCCUUUUUAUGCCCAUUCAUUAAUUCUUGACAUCAUGUACUUAAUUCCUUCAUUCCUGUAUCUGCUCUUGACACCCGAGCAAAGCAUAAGAAGUUUGCCAAUAAGUUUCAAGAAAUAUACUGCCCGAUGUGUAACAAGAAAUUUCACACGAAGAGUGGCUUCCUCAUACACCAAACAUCUCACAAGAAAUACUACAAAGCGUGGGAAAGCUUGCCCUCAAGCCGCCUCUUGCUUCUUGUGAUCAUGAUGACUCUGAUGAGGCUGCUGCUGAAGCUACUGUUGGUCAUGAUGGUUAAGAAGGAGAACAAGUGGAUGGCUAGUUCUUGUGUUUCCUUCUGAAGAAUGCAUGGUAUCUCACACUACUGGGUUUGCUGCAAUUCAGCUUUGAACAAAUAACUAGCUUUCCUUACACUCACUCUACAUAUUGGUGUGGUGGUCUCUUGGUUUUGAAGAACCCUUUAUAAAGUUGAUCUCACUAGUUAAUUUCCAGUUGAUCUCACUAGUUAAUGUGUAUGUCACUAGUUGGUCUCUUGGUUUGGGAUAUUCGUUUUAUAAAUUUUUUCGUAUGAAUGUUGUGUUUGCAUUUUUGAAACAUAGUCAAUUGAGUGAUUUAGCCUUCA